UGAAGAUCUGGAAGUUUCUAGAUGAUCGCGAGAAGUUUGUGGAAAUGAAAUUGAAGCAUCACCAUGACCAGGACAAUGAUCAUCAACAGAUGAAGAUCUCGAAGUUUCUAGAAGAUCGCGAGAAGUUUGGAGAAAUGAAAUUGAAGCAUCACCAUCACCAUCACCAUGACCAUCACCAUGACCACGACAACGAAGACAAUGAUCAUGAACAGUGGAAGAUGUGGAAGUUUCUAGAUGAUCGCGAGAAGUUUGGGGAAAUGAAAUUGAAGCACCACCAUCACCAUGACGAUGACGAGGACGACGAAGACAAUGAUCAUGAACAGAAGAAGAUCUCGAAGUUUCAAUUGGCGCGUGAAAAUGGAGGUAAUUUUGGUGAAAUGAAAUCGAAAAGUGAUGAUGAUGAGGCUGAGAAAAGAUCAAAGCUUUAUGGAAAGCACUAUGAGAUGACAUUGAGGAAGCGUUUUCGUUAUAAUGCUGGUGAAGAAGAAGAUGAGAAAGCUAAGGAAGAGACGAAAUGGCAUAAGAAGGAGAAGAAGAAAGGUGGAUUCAUGAGCGGUAUUCGUAAGUUCUUGCAUCACUACUUUGAUUGAAG
rnacentral:lncRNA from 1 species